UUUGAAAACCUGAAACCAUACAAUAGUUGGCCUUUUUGUCUUAUCAAGUGAUGGAAGUGACGGUCGAUUAUCAAAAUAAUUGUCAAAAUAGUUGCAGAUUAAUUUUUCGUCAAUCGACUAAGCUAAUCCGUUAUCAUGAUUUUAACAAUCACAUGGCUUUUAUUCUUAUUAGUCUUCAGGACAAAGUGAGCAUUUUUAGCCCCAGUGUGAUGUAACGAUGGCAUUUAAUUUGAAGUGAUGUGUAGAAGACGUUUCUCCUGGUCCUGGAAGAAGAGCAGAGAGCAGCAGUCAGCCACUGACACUAUGGGCACAGAGGGCAGCGCUGGAUCCGGCAUCAGGUUAGACACCACUGAGACACCUGUCCUGGAGGAGGGAGGCUCACUCUGCUCCAUAGGCUAACAGCUGUACAAGGAUGUGGGAGUAAAAAGCGGAUACUUGCUGGCAAGAAAGCUGCUUUCUGUUAACACUGCAAGGAAAAGUAUUCAUCUUGACGCCAGGAGGCGAGUAUUUUUUGAGAAAAGUUACUUUAAUGUAGUGAGGGGGAGUUAGUUACACUGCAGGGAGAAGAGAUUUGUUCUUCCUUGAACUUUUUACAAGCCAUCCAGUGUCCACCAGAACAUCCAACACCACACUGUCACAAAAGAGUGUACAGACUGGCACUAAAUAAAACAGACCCGUUAUGCAUUCUUGAGCCCUUAAUCACAGGUUGAAUGGGAAGUCUUUGAACCAA